rnacentral:rRNA from 1 species
UGGCGAACGGGUGAGUAACGCGUGAGGAACCUGCCUCAAAGAGGGGGACAACAGCUGGAAACGACUGCUAAUACCGCAUAAGCCCACGACCCGGCAUCGGGAAGAGGGAAAAGGAGCAAUCCGCUUUGAGAUGGCCUCGCGUCCGAUUAGCUAGUUGGUGAGGUAACGGCCCACCAAGGCGACGAUCGGUAGCCGGACUGAGAGGUUGAACGGCCACAUUGGGACUGAGACACGGCCCAG